CCCUUAGAUGUUCUGGGCCGCACGCGCGCUACACUGAAGGGAUCAGCGUGUUUUCCCUUUCCGAGAGGAACGGGUAACCCGCUGAACCCCCUUCGUGGUAGGGAUCGGAGCUUGCAAUUGUUCUCCGUGAACCAGGAAUUCCCAGUAAGCGCAAGUCAUAAGCUUGCGUUGAUUACGUCCCCGCCCUUUGUACACACCGCCCGUCGCUACUACCGAUUGAACGUUUUAGUGAGGUAUUUGGACUGGGCCUUGGGAGGUUUCGGCCUCCCUUGUUGCUCGGAAAGACUCCCAAACUUGAGCGUUUAGAGGAAGUAAAAGUCGUAACA
rnacentral:rRNA from 1 species